rnacentral:rRNA from 1 species
CCUACGGGGGGCUGCAGUGGGGAAUAUUGGACAAUGGGGGGAACCCUGAUCCAGCCAUGCCGCGUGUGUGAAGAAGGCCCUCGGGUUGUAAAGCACUUUCAGUGAGGAAGAACGCCUGGUGGUUAAUACCCAUCAGGAAAGACAUCACUCACAGAAGAAGCACCGGCUAACUCCGUGCCAGCAGCCGCGGUAAUACGGAGGGUGCGAGCGUUAAUCGGAAUUACUGGGCGUAAAGCGCGCGUAGGUGGCUUGAUAAGCCGGUUGUGAAAGCCCCGGGCUCAACCUGGGAACGGCAUCCGGAACUGGCAGGCUAGAGUGCAGGAGAGGAAGGUAGAAUUCCCGGUGUAGCGGUGAAAUGCGUAGAGAUCGGGAGGAAUACCAGUGGCGAAGGCGGCCUUCUGGACUGACACUGACACUGAGGUGCGAAAGCGUGGGUAGCAAACAGGAUUAGAUACCCGAGUAGUC